AGUAUAUUGAUGACGAUAGUAAUAAUCCAAUUUUUAAGAUGGUUUACCACACUUAACGAUGCCUUCUCCACGUCAACCACAGAAAUGCAAGAAUGAAUCAGCUGAAAAAGAAGUUACGAAACCCCAAACCUGGCAAUUAAAAAGGAAAAUAGGCCAGGCACAGUGGCUGACACCUGUAAUCCCAGCACUUUGGGGAGCCAAGGUGGGUGAAUGAUGAGGUCAGGAGAUGGAGACCAUCCUGGCUAACACAGUGAACCCCAUCUCUGCUAAACAACAACAAAUAAAUAAAUAAAUAAGCUGAGUCCCGUGGCACGCACCUGUAGUCCCAGCUACUCUGGAGGCUGAGGCAGGAGAAUCAUUUGAACUCGGGAAGUAGAGGUUGCAGUGAGCUGAGAUCAUGCCACCGCACUCCAGCCUGGAUGACAGCAAGACUGCAUCUCUAAAAAAGGAAGAAAAAGCAUAGAGGAGAAAACCAAGGGCCACCUCCACAGCCGUCAUGUCUGGGAAGGUUAAACUGGGACAGCUUAUCAGCAGCUGCCUCUUGAUGACGACACAGCUGGAAAAUAAGUCAAAAAUGCUGCCAACAGAACUCACCAUGUGGUCCAUCAAACGCCCACCUGAGUGAACGCAUGGCAGCACGCGCAGUGCAGCUCCGCUGGCCGGGAGGUCCAGCUUCCACACACCGAAGCUUCCUCAGAGACAGCUGCCACCAGAGUUGCUGCAAGAACACGUUUUUCACUAGGUGUAGCUUCACUGUCAGCUCAAGGAGAAGACUGAGAUGUCAUUUCUUUUUAGAAGAUCGUGGUUUAGGAAGAACAUGACAAUAUGGAGAACAGAGGUUCACUUCUUGAAUUCAAGUAAAACCAAGAAUGACUGUAAGUUUUUCUCUGAUACAGUGUGCCUGCGUGCUCUGUGAAGAAUCCUUUUCCACUGCCCCCAUCUGUCUGGGUGAAUGGAGAGGAAGGGUGGCAAGGUGCCCGUAUACUAGCAGGCACUCCUGGUGAUGCCCUGGGUUCUGCUCCUUUUCUGCUGGUGGUAGAAGACUUCUUUUUUGGCAGCUGCAGCAGCUUGAUGUGGAGGAGGAAGGGGCCACCCACCAAUCACCUUUUCUUUUGUUUUGAGACAGAGUCUCACUUUGUCCCUCAGGCUGGAGUAGAGUGGUGCAAUCUCAAGUCACUGAAGCCUCGGCUGCCCCGUUCAAAUGAUUCUCAUGCCUCAGCCUCCUGAGUAGCUGGGAUUACCAGCAUGUGCCACCACGCCUGACUAAUUUUUUUAUUUUUAGUAGAGAUGGGUUUUCACCAUGUUGGCCAGGCUGGUCUCAAACUCCUGUUCUCAGGUGAUCCUGCCACCUCUGCCUCCCAAAGUGCUGGGAUUACAGGUGUGAGCCACCAUGCCCCACCCAAUCACCUCUUCUUGAAGCCGUGAUUUUUGCAUUCAUGGAAGACGUCUGUCUUAGAGCCCACAAAACUGGCAAUCUUUGGGCAGCCAUUUCUAUUUUUGACACAGUCUUCUGGUAGCAACACCAGGCUGCUUGCAGCAGAAGAUCAAAUCAGGGUGAUCUUUAGCCAUCGCUCCCAACGACACCAGCCACCGGGCCACCUAUUAAGAUAACUCUGAACCCAAAGCAUAAACACAUCUUUCUCUGUUUAGAAAUCAUUCCCUUCCUUUCAUGAAUUCACCUCAUUCAGAAAUAGUUUCUUUUUUCUCAUCUCCAAAUCGCUCCAGGUUCAGGAACUGACAUUUCAGUUGCUUAGCCAUGCCUUCCAACACUGUUCAGACAUGUACGCAUUCGGGGUUGUGAACUUAUUUCCACACUGGGGAGAGAGCUGGUCCCUGGGGGUGAGCAGGACAUGGACAGGUCAAGUCACUACUGGUCCUGCUUCAUGAGCAGGCAUCCAAGGGAAGCUUCAUAGCAACCUAUGUUUCGUACCAUCUGGUGCACAUAUCAGUGUUUUCCACAAGGUAAUAAAGGGGGAAAUAAACAUCUUCAGUCCCUCUCAGAGAGAGGCUAGUCUUCUUAAGAGUCCACACUCAUCGAGUUCAGAAUCUCCAAUCCCGCCUCUGCCCUACACAGGUGAAUGCUGUCUUCUCAUUGCCCAGAUGAGGACACUGAGGCUCAGUGUCACUAGUCACACAACUGAGGAAGGUUCGUGCUGGGUGGGGGCUCAGCUCCGGCUGACCGAAAGCUGCCCUAUGUGCCACUUUGAUGUGUCCACUUCCAGUGAACCAAGGUUGGGAACAACAGGUUGCCUUGUUUAUAGUUGGUGACAUGGUCUGACUGCCUUUCUUG